UACGGAGGGUGCAAACGUUGCUCGGAAUCAUUGGGCGUAAAGCGCGCGCAGGCGGUCUCUUAAGUCUGAUGUGAAAUCCCGUGGCUUAACCACGGGCGGUCAUUGGAAACUGGGGAACUUGAGUGCAGAAGAGAAGAGCGGAAUUCCACGUGUAGCGGUGAAAUGCGUAGAGAUGUGGAGGAACACCAGUGGCGAAGGCGGCUCUUUGGUCUGUAACUGACGCUGAGGCGCGAAAGCGUGGGGAGCGAACAGG
rnacentral:rRNA from 1 species